GGGGCACUGAUCCAACGCAAUUCCCCGGGACAGGUUGUUGCCUUUGUUAUUGUUUUUUUUUGUGGUACCCGGAUGAAAUCGCAGAAAUCUCGACUAGUUCGCGACCUGUGCUGUGCCACCCGUAAAGCGCACAAUCAGCUAAUUGAGCAGCGCCACCAAGCACCUGGACUUACUUUCGCGCUGGCUAUGGGGCGAAUGCGAACGACAGAAUCGGCAAAAAAGGAGAAGAUUGGAAGAGGGUAGAAAGAGGAACGUCACUAGAAUCUGUUUAGGACUGCACCACGAUCGAUGGAACGACAUGCGAGAAAGCACUGGAUCAGGCAACAGCGAAUUCAUCAAACAUCUGCUCGAUGUUCAUGAUCAAUUCUGCGCCUGCAGCAAUUCCCAGGCAAUGGAUACAGCUGAUCAUGAAGUGACUGGCGAUAUCAGCAUCGGGAACACCGCCACUUCCUUGUACGCCUGGACUUUCUUUUAGUACUCCUGUUUGUGGUCACGUUGACACUCCAAGUCCAUCUCGUUUUGGGCUACUUUUGGAGAGGACAUUGACAACAUCUCGGCAUUAGAGGAAGAUCUUCUAAACUUGCCCGAAUUUGCCACAGAUGAUGAUGACUUCCCCGACACUUCUGAGCCACUGCUUGAACUCAUCUCCACACCGAAGUUUAUUGGUUACCCGAGUCCGAUCAUGGAGUUGGUGAAACUGAAAGCCGGUGACACUUGUACAAGACCAUACUGUGUUAGUCCGCUCAUGUUCACAGACAAGAUGUAUGGCACUGCCUUGGUUGUACGAUGGGAUUGCACUUCUGGUUACUCGUGUGGAUCCUGGGCCUCACAACCAAAGAGGAUGUUUUGUGGAAAUCUCCAGCUGUCGACCAGUAUCCUCUUCAGUGGCAACUCCUACAUGAAGAUUCCUAAACCUUGGAAUUAUUGGCGAGCCAACU